rnacentral:rRNA from 1 species
UGGGGAAUAUUGCACAAUGGGCGCAAGCCUGAUGCAGCCAUGCCGCGUGUGUGAAGAAGGCCUUCGGGUUGUAAAGCACUUUCAGCGAGGAGGAAGGUGGUGAGCUUAAUACGCUCAUCAAUUGACGUUACUCGCAGAAGAAGCACCGGCUAACUCCGUGCCAGCAGCCGCGGUAAUACGGAGGGUGCAAGCGUUAAUCGGAAUUACUGGGCGUAAAGCGCACGCAGGCGGUUUGUUAAGUCAGAUGUGAAAUCCCCGGGCUCAACCUGGGAACUGCAUUUGAAACUGGCAAGCUAGAGUCUCGUAGAGGGGGUAGAAUUCCAGGUGGUAGCGGUGAAAUGCGUAGAGAUCUGGAGGAAUACCGGUGGCGAAGGCGGCCCCCUGGACGAAGACUGACCGCUCAGGUGCGAAAGCGUGGGGAGCAAA